rnacentral:rRNA from 1 species
UGCGCGGAAGAUGUAACGGGGCUAAACCAUGCACCGAAGCUGCGGCAGCGACACUCAGGUGUUGUUGGGUAGGGGAGCGUUCUGUAAGCCUGCGAAGGUGGCCUGUGAGGGUUGCUGGAGGUAUCAGAAGUGCGAAUGCUGACAUAAGUAACGAUAAAGCGGGUGAAAAGCCCGCUCGCCGGAAGACCAAGGGUUCCUGUCCAACGUUAAUCGGGGCAGGGUGAGUCGACCCCUAAGGCGAGGCCGAAAGGCGUAGUCGAUGGGAAACGGGUUAAUAUUCCCGUACUUGGUGUUACUGCGAAGGGGGGACGGAGAAGGCUAUGUUGGCCGGGCGACGGUUGUCCCGGUUUAAGCGUGUAGGUGUGUGUUCCAGGUAAAUCCGGUUCACUUUAACACUGAGGCGUGACGACGAGGCACUACGGUGCUGAAGCAACAAAUGCCCUGCUUCCAGGAAAAGCCUCUAAGCAUCAGGUAACAUCAAAUCGUACCCCAAACCGACACAGGUGGUCAGGUAGAGAAUACCAAGGCGCUUGAGAGAACUCGGGUGAAGGAACUAGGCAAAAUGGUGCCGUAACUUCGGGAGAAGGCACGCUGACACGUAGGUGAAGUGAUUUACUCAUGGAGCUGAAGUCAGUCGAAGAUACCAGCUGGCUGCAACUGUUUAUUAAAAACACAGCACUGUGCAAACAUGAAAGUGGACGUAUACGGUGUGACGCCUGCCCGGUGCCGGAAGGUUAAUUGAUGGGGUCAGCGCAAGCGAAGCUCCUGAUCGAAGCCCCGGUAAACGGCGGCCGUAACUAUAACGGUCCUAAGGUAGCGAAAUUCCUUGUCGGGUAAGUUCCGACCUGCACGAAUGGCGUAAUGAUGGCCAGGCUGUCUCCACCCGAGACUCAGUGAAAUUGAACUCGCUGUGAAGAUGCAGUGUACCCGCGGCAAGACGGAAAGACCCCGUGAACCUUUACUAUAGCUUGACACUGAACAUUGAGCCUUGAUGUGUAGGAUAGGUGGGAGGCUUUGAAGUGUGGACGCCAGUCUGCAUGGAGCCGACCUUGAAAUACCACCCUUUAAUGUUUGAUGUUCUAACGUGGACCCGUAAUCCGGGUUGCGGACAGUGUCUGGUGGGUAGUUUGACUGGGGCGGUCUCCUCCUAAAGAGUAACGGAGGAGCACGAAGGUUGGCUAAUCCUGGUCGGACAUCAGGAGGUUAGUGCAAUGGCAUAAGCCAGCUUGACUGCGAGCGUGACGGCGCGAGCAGGUGCGAAAGCAGGUCAUAGUGAUCCGGUGGUUCUGAAUGGAAGGGCCAUCGCUCAACGGAUAAAAGGUACUCCGGGGAUAACAGGCUGAUACCGCCCAAGAGUUCAUAUCGACGGCGGUGUUUGGCACCUCGAUGUCGGCUCAUCACAUCCUGGGGCUGAAGUAGGUCCCAAGGGUAUGGCUGUUCGCCAUUUAAAGUGGUACGCGAGCUGGGUUUAGAACGUCGUGAGACAGUUCGGUCCCUAUCUGCCGUGGGCGCUGGAGAACUGAGGGGGGCUGCUCCUAGUACGAGAGGACCGGAGUGGACGCAUCACUGGUGUUCGGGUUGUCAUGCCAAUGGCACUGCCCGGUAGCUAAAUGCGGAAGAGAUAAGUGCUGAAAGCAUCUAAGCACGAAACUUGCCCCGA